rnacentral:rRNA from 1 species
GACGAACGCUGGCGGCGUGCCUAACACAUGCAAGUCGAACGGAAGUUAGAGCUUCGGUUUUAACUUUAGUGGCGAACGGGUGAGUAACGCGUGAGGAACCUGCCUUUCAGUGGGGGACAACAGUUGGAAACGACUGCUAAUACCGCAUGACACUUUUGGGAGACAUCUCCUGGAAGUCAAAGCUUUAUGUGCUGAAAGAUGGCCUCGCGUCUGAUUAGCUAGUUGGUGAGGUAACGGCUCACCAAGGCGACGAUCAGUAGCCGGUCUGAGAGGAUGAACGGCCACAUUGGGACUGAGAUACGGCCCAGACUCCUACGGGAGGCAGCAGUGGGGAAUAUUGGGCAAUGGGGGAAACCCUGACCCAGCAACGCCGCGUGAAGGAAGAAGGCCUUCGGGUUGUAAACUUCUUUUACCAGGGACGAAGGACGUGACG